CGGUGAUGGAACUGGAUGGCUACUGGGGACUCUUCCAAGUCAGAUGCUGAGAUUCUAAGAUGGAGCCAUACCACUCAUCAAUUUUCAAACCAAGUACUGAAAACUUUCCCAAAUACCAAGAUAUAACAGAAGAAGCCAAAGUCAUGUGGGAACAAGAUGAACUGGACAUCAGCCCUUUCAAACUCUCUGCUAACUGUCCCAAGGACACUUUUGGGAAAGAAGCAGCUCCGGAGAAGGAAAGGACUUAUUCAAGAGUCCAAUGCCAAAGCUGA
rnacentral:lncRNA from 1 species